GUGGCAGAAUACCUGACCACUGGGACUGACCCAAACUUAAGGAAAGCUUUGACUAUGUACAGACUCAGUGAGCGUAGCCUUGCUAUUGAGAAAGGCUGCCGUAGGCAGACCUGGCUCUCAAGAGAAGACAGGCUAUGUGCACACUGCCCACAAAAUGAGGUGGAAACUGAGCUGUACUUCCUAACCUCCUGCCCAAAUGUAUGACCAUAUUAGAGACACAUAUUUCCCUCAGAUUACACAGGGAAAUAUGUGUGUGUGUGUCUGUGCGUGAGAGCGAGAGAGAGCGAGAGAGAGAGACAUUUAAAAAGGUGCUGAAGGUUAGACAAGCAACACAUGGACAAACCAGUUAAAACCAGUUCAAACCAGACUUCAGCUCCAGGCUGAAGUCUCCCCUUUAGGUAGAGAUCUAGGAUCAGCUCCAACCGUUAGUGGGGACAGGCUGAAGUCUCCCCUUUAGGUAGAGAUCUAGGAUCAGCUCCAAUCCUAACAACCGUUAGUGGGGACAGGCUGAAGUCUCCCCUUUAGGUAGAGAUCUAGGAUCAGCUCCAACCGUUAGUGGGGAAAAUACACAAACUCACCUAAAAUCCGUAUCUCACCCUACUCCAAAUGAAAACCCAACACGUCCAUAUUUUAGAAAAGUCACCAUAUCUUUAUUCAACGAUCUCUCCCCUCCUCAACAAUAUCUCAGCUCAAUAUUUCCUCUUUUCAUAUAAAAACAAACAUUAUAUACAUAUUAUAAUAUCUACACUCAUAUUUUACAUUAUACCACAAACGAUAUAUAUAUCUGAGUCCCAAAACGGCACCCUAUUCCCUAUAUAGCGCACUACUUUUAACCAGAGUUUUAUGGGCCCAAGCAUAAAGUAGUGUGUAGUAUGUAGGGAAUAGGGUGCCAUCUGGGACUCGGAAGAAGUCUCAUCUCUUCAGUUCGAUGAUGACAGUCAGACAGUGUAAAGAAAUCAGUGGGUCCAGGAGUUUUUCUUUCGGUUGGUCAAUGAGGAGAAACUCUGGGCACUGUCCUGUAUAUGGAUCCAACAGAAAUAAGACUGGCCCAGAGGGGGCAGUCAGGGUACGGGCCCAGAGGGGGCAGUCAGGGUACGGGCCCAGAGGGUACGGGCCCAGAGGGGGCAGUCAGGGUACGGGCCCAGAGGGGGCAGUCAGGGUACGGGCCCAGAGGGGGCAGUCAGGGUACGGGCCCAGAGGGGGCAGUCAGGGUACGGGCCCAGAGGGGGCAGUCAGGGUACGGGCCCAGAGGGCGCAGUCAGGGUACGGGCCUAGAGGGGGCAGUCAGGGUACGGGCCCAGAGGGGGCAGUCAGGGUACGGGCCCAGAGGGGGCAGUCAGGGUACGGGCCUAGAGGGGGCAGUCAAGGUACGGGCCCAGAGGGGGCAGUCAGGGUACGGGCCCCAGAGGGGUCUGAUCUAAAGUAGUGCACUAUACUGGGAAUAGGGUGCCAUUUGGGAUGCAGGAGAGCACAGUGUCUCUCCAGUCACGUAGACUGGUCCCAGACCUGUAGUUACCUGUAAACCAUCAUGCUAGUCAGAGAGGUUGGCUGAAGACCAAACAAAAUCUGGGAACAGUGUUUAUGUCUCUACAGUCAGGAAUCUGUACUCAGCCUCAUCUGGCCUCAUAUACAGUCUAUACAUCCUGCAGUAGUCUGGGUGGAUUUACAGUAACUAUACAGUCUAUACAUCCUGCAGUAGUCUGGGUGGAUUUACAGUAACUAUACAGUCUAUACAUCCUGCAGUAGUCUGGGUGGUUACAGUAACUAUACAGUCUAUACAUCCUGCAGUAGUCUGGGUGGAUUUACAGUAACUAUACAGUCAGGAAUCUGUACUCAGCCUCAUCUGGCCUCAUAUACAGUCUAUACAUCCUGCAGUAGUCUGGGUGGAUUUACAGUAACUAUACAGUCAGGAAUCUGUACUCAGCCUCAUCUGGCCUAAUAUACAGUCUAUACAUCCUGCAGUAGUCUGGGUGGUUUACAGUAACUAUACAGUCUAUACAUCCUGCAGUAGUCUGGGUGGAUUUACAGUAACUAUACAGUCUAUACAUCCUGCAGUAGUCUGGGUGGAUUUACAGUAACUAUACAGUCUAUACAUCCUGCAGUAGUCUGGGUGGUUACAGUAACUAUACAGUCUAUACAUCCAGCAGUAGUCGGUGGUUACAGUAACUAUACAGUCUAUACAUCCAGCAGCAGUCUGGGUGGAGUUACAGUAACUAUACAUCCUGCAGUAGCCUGGGUGGAUUUACAGUAACUAUACAGUCUAUACAUCCAGCAGUAGUCUGGGUGGAUACAGUAACUAUACA
rnacentral:lncRNA from 8 species